CUGAAAUGAAGAGAAUACUCUUGCUGAUC
rnacentral:piRNA from 1 species